CCUACGGGUGGCAGCAGUGGGGAAUAUUGCACAAUGGGGGAAACCCUGAUGCAGCGACGCCGCGUGAGUGAAGAAGUAAUUCGUUAUGUAAAGCUCUAUCAGCAGGGCAGAAAAUGACGGUACCUGAGUAAGAAGCCCCGGCUAACUACGUGCCAGCAGCCGCGGUAAUACGUGGGGGGCAAGCGUUAUCCGGAUUUACUGGGUGUAAAGGGGGCGUAGACGGGAGUGCAAGUCUGGAGUUAAAGGCGGGGGCUGAACCCCCGAACUGCUCUGGAAACUGUACGGCUGGAGUGCAGGAGAGGUAAGCGGAAGUGCUGGUGUAGCGGUGAAAUGCGUAGAUAUUAGGAGGAACACCAGUGGCGAAGGCGGCUUACUGGACUGUAACUGACGCUGAGGCUCGAAAGCGUGGGGAUCAAACAGGAUUAGAUACCCCGGUAGUC
rnacentral:rRNA from 1 species